CACACCUGGGCCAGGCUUGGGAGCCACACAGCAAAUAUACCAAACUACCAUCAGUCGGGAGGACAGUGGCCCUGAACUAUUAGAUGCUUUCACUGAACCGUCUUUCGUUCCGUUUUGAA